GAAAUUUCCUGUGGGAGAAAAGCAACGCGUGGGCAACCGGGGUUGGCUUUGCCUAAAUAAAUUCCUCGUGCUUUCAAAACAGAACCACAGGGAAAAUGGGGACUGGGCACAAGUGUAGCCUUGCACCAUCCUGGCUGUCACCUCUUCUUUCAGAGCUGGUGCCAUUUCCCAGGCACCUCCUGAGGGUUUUAAAAUAAAUUUUUCAGUAAUUCAGCACCAAUCCAGCCCUUCUUACAUGACCUGGAAUCUUUGGGAAGUGAGG
rnacentral:lncRNA from 12 species